GGAGAAAAGAAAGAAAGGGGAGAAGAGAAAAAGAAGAGAGAAGAAGAAGAGAAAAGAAGAAAGAAAAGAAGAGAAAAGAAGAAAGAAAAGAGAGAAGAAGAAAGAGAGAGAAAAUUCAGUGAGCCUCACAUAUUGUAAACUCUAAAGUUGUAGCCCUAUUAUUUUAUAUAGUGAAAAAGUUACUGCUGCUGCUCUCCGAGGACGUAUGCAUAGCCGAACCUCGUUAAAUGCUGUGUCUCAUCUACUUACGUGCAGCUCAAUAUUCAUACAUAUUCCAGGUUAUUUUUAUAACACGUUAUCAGCACGAGAAGCUCUCAGGUAUAAUUUUUGUGCUGCACUAUUAUCUAUACUACUAACCACUAACAAAAAUGGACCCUUGGUAAUACUAAACAUAUUAUCAGUGGGAGACCGUUACUAAUACUAACUUUUUCUUAUUUUAUUCGGUGGUGAUUUUAACCCCACAUUUAUUUACUGUAUGGUGUAGGUUUAUUACCCAUACAUGCACCUUUACUUUAUCACAAAUUUAUUUUACCGCAUAUUUAUUUUAUUUACUGUAUGGUGUAGGUUUAUUACCCAUACAACAGUAUUUAUUUAAAAGGGUGGUGCGGGUUUAUCGUCCACGCCUUUGCUUUUAUUUAAAUGUAUGGAGCAGAAUUAAUGCCCAUACAAGCACCUUAACUUUAUGAAUUUAAUUUACCGCACAUUUACAUUUAUUUAAAGUGUGGUGCGGGUUUAUCGUCCAUACCAGUAAUUUAUUUAUCAGCAAUUUAUUUUAUGGAUUAAUUGUGCUGUAUGAUGAGUUUUUCCAGUAUGCAGAUCAGGACCAGAAGUUCCUUGAUCCUCAUCAUACAAUUACAUCAGGACUUGAAGAUCCUUGAUGAUGAUAUUAAAAUGAGAGCUGGCAGUCUCACCGGUACUGUAUUUGUAAACAUGUGAUUGGACUUAAAGGUCCUUGAUCCCUGACAUGUAAAUAAGGACCUAGAGUUCCUUAAUGAUGUAACAGUACCGUAUUGGUUCAUAGUGCCGUACAUAUUGAUGAUAACUGUACUGGCAGAUGAAUAGAUACGUAUUCAUGACUUGAUGAAUAGUACUAUUCACAUGAAUAGUGACGUAUGCAUAAAUAUUAACCAUUUUGGGUAAACCGUCACUAUAUACAAAAGGGAACCUGCAGUUCCUUAAACUCAUGGAUGAGCAAUUAAAUGAGAUGCCAGAAGUUCCUCAAAAUAUGGACAAUUAUGUAAGGGCUUGAAGUCCCGAAAUAUGUACAGAAAAUUGUAAAAAUGUCCAUACCAUGAGAAUAUGUGGCUUUGGCCUGAAGUUCCAAAUUUAACAGUGUUGAGAACCUGAAGUUCCAACAAUUAAAUGGACAACCCUUGAGGUAUUAUUGCAAAUUGUGGUAUGCCACAUAUUUCUUUGGCAUAAGAAGAUGAUGAAUUUAAUAAAGUUCGAUUUUGUUAUAAUCGACACCUCAAGGAAGAAAUAUAUUUUGUGAAUUCCGGUUGUUAAGAAUACACCGCGAAAUGGA
rnacentral:lncRNA from 1 species